rnacentral:rRNA from 1 species
UGGGGAAUAUUGCACAAUGGGCGCAAGCCUGAUGCAGCCAUGCCGCGUGUAUGAAGAAGGCCUUCGGGUUGUAAGGUACUUUCAGCGGGGAGGAAGGCGAUAAGGUUAAUAACCUUGUCGAUUGACGUUACCCGCAGAAGAAGCACCGGCUAACUCCGUGCCAGCAGCCGCGGUAAUACGGAGGGUGCAAGCGUUAAUCGGAAUUACUGGGCGUAAAGCGCACGCAGGCGGUCUGUCAAGUCGGAUGUGAAAUCCCCGGGCUCAACCUGGGAACUGCAUUCGAAACUGGCAGGCUAGAGUCUUGUAGAGGGGGGUAGAAUUCCAGGUGUAGCGGUGAAAUGCGUAGAGAUCUGGAGGAAUACCGGUGGCGAAGGCGGCCCCCUGGACAAAGACUGACGCUCAGGUGCGAAAGCGUGGGGAGCAAACA